UUUGAGAAAAAAUGUUCUUAUCACAAUGAUUUUUUUCUUCAAUUGCUAUACUCUAUAUUCAUAGGCGUUGAUCAAGUGAUAUAGAGAAGGUAUAUGAUGCUGUGAAGGUAUAUCCGAAUAUAUUUAUAAUAUGUACACCAAUAUGCUCCUAAAUUGAUAACACAGUAGAUAUUCUCAGUAUUAUCCGCAAAACACAAAACACCAACAAAA